AAGUCGUAACAAGGUUUCCGUAGGUGAACCUGCGGAAGGAUCAUUAUCGAAUAAACUUGAACAGGCUGUUGCUGGUCCCUUCUGCCGGGACAUGUGCACGCUUGUCAUCUUUAUCAUCUCUCCAACUGUGCACGUAUUGUAGACCCUGGAGGGAGGCUGGAUUCGUUCCGAGUGGGGACUGCUGUGCUUUCAAAGAAAAAGUCGGCUUUCCCUUUGCAUCUCCAAGGUCUAUGUCCUUUUUUCACAACCUCUCGAACACGUUUAGAAUGUAGAACAAGGUCCUUUUGUACCUAUAAAGUUAUAAAUACAACUUUCAGCAACGGACCUCUUGGCUCUCGCACCGAUGAAGAACGCAGCGAAAUGCGAUAAGUAAUGUGAAUUGCAGAAUUCAGUGAAUCAUCGAAUCUUUGAACGCAUCUUGCGCUCCUUGGUAUUCCGAGGAGCAUGCCUGUUUGAGUGUCAUUUAACUUCUCAAAGCACAUCAUUUAUUUGAGGUGGCUUUGGACAUGGGGGGCUUUUUUGCAGGCUUUCUUCUCAAGUCUGCUCCCCUGAAACGCAUUAGUGGUAUCUGGAGCGGAGACUGCUAGGUGUGAUAAUAUCAUCUAUGCCUUUUGGUGUGACCGCAUUGAAACAGAUUGUGCUGCUUCCAACGCACAUUUCAUCUUUUGACAAACUUGACCUCAAAUCAGGUAGGACUACCCGCUGAACUUAAGCAUAUCAAUAAGCGGAGGAAAAGAAACUAACAAGGAUUCCCCUAGUAACUGCGAGUGAAGCGGGAAGAGCUCAAAUUUGAAAUCUGGCGGUUCUUGACCGUCCGAGUUGUAAUCUAGAGAAGUGCUACCUGUGCUGGACCGUGUACAAGUCUCCUGGAAUGGAGCAUCACAGAGGGUGAGAAUCCCGUCUUUGACACGGACUGCCUGUACAUUAUGGUGCGCUCUCGAAGAGUCGAGUUGUUUGGGAAUGCAGCUCAAAAUGGGUGGUAAAUGCCAUCUAAAGCUAAAUAUUGGCGAGAGACCGAUAGCGAACAAGUACCGUGAGGGAAAGAUGAAAAGAACUUUGGAAAGAGAGUUAAACAGUACGUGAAAUUGCUGAAAGGGAAACGCUUGAAGUCAGUCGCGUCGGCUAGAAAUCAGCCUCGCUUUUGCUUGGUGUACUUUCUUGUUGAUGGGUCAGCAUCAAUUUCGACCAUUGGAUAAAGUCGUUGGGAAUGUGGCAUCUUCGGAUGUGUUAUAGCCCAGUGUCGCAUACAGUGGUUGGGAUUGAGGAACUCAGCACGCCGCAAGGCCGGGUCUCUUGACCACGUUCGUGCUUAGGAUGCUGGCAUAAUGGCUUUAAUCGACC
rnacentral:rRNA from 1 species